rnacentral:rRNA from 1 species
CCUGGCUCAGGAUGAACGCUAGCGACAGGCUUAACACAUGCAAGUCGAGGGGCAGCGGGGGUAGCAAUACCCGCCGGCGACCGGCGCACGGGUGAGUAACGCGUAUGCAACUUACCUAUCAGAGGGGGAUAACCCGGCGAAAGUCGGACUAAUACCGCAUGAAGCAGGGGUCCCGCAUGGGGAUAUUUGCUAAAGAUUCAUCGCUGAUAGAUAGGCAUGCGUUCCAUUAGGCAGUUGGCGGGGUAACGGCCCACCAAACCGACGAUGGAUAGGGGUUCUGAGAGGAAGGUCCCCCACAUUGGUACUGAGACACGGACCAAACUCCUACGGGAGGCAGCAGUGAGGAAUAUUGGUCAAUGGGCGUAAGCCUGAACCAGCCAAGUCGCGUGAGGGAUGAAGGUUCUAUGGAUCGUAAACCUCUUUUAUAAGGGAAUAAAGUGCGGGACGUGUCCCGUUUUGUAUGUACCUUAUGAAUAAGGAUCGGCUAACUCCGUGCCAGCAGCCGCGGUAAUACGGAGGAUCCGAGCGUUAUCCGGAUUUAUUGGGUUUAAAGGGUGCGUAGGCGGCCUUUUAAGUCAGCGGUGAAAGUCUGUGGCUCAACCAUAGAAUUGCCGUUGAAACUGGGAGGCUUGAGUAUGUUUGAGGCAGGCGGAAUGCGUGGUGUAACGGUGAAAUGCUUAGAUAUCACGCAGAACCCCGAUUGCGAAGGCAGCCUGCCAAGCCAUGACUGACGCUGAUGCACGAAAGCGUGGGGAUCAAACAGGAAUAGAUACCUGGGUAGUCCACGCAGUAAACGAUGAUCACUAGCUGUUUGCGAUACAGUGUAAGCGGCACAGCGAAAGCGUUAAGUGAUCCACCUGGGGAGUACGCCGGCAACGGUGAAACUCAAAGGAAUUGACGGGGGCCCGCACAAGCGGAGGAACAUGUGGUUUAAUUCGAUGAUACGCGAGGAACCUUACCCGGGUUUGAACGCAUUCGGACCGAGGUGGAAACACCUUUUCUAGCAAUAGCCGUUUGCGAGGUGCUGCAUGGUUGUCGUCAGCUCGUGCCGUGAGGUGUCGGCUUAAGUGCCAUAACGAGCGCAACCCUUGCCACUAGUUACUAACAGGUAAAGCUGAGGACUCUGGUGGGACUGCCAGCGUAAGCUGCGAGGAAGGCGGGGAUGACGUCAAAUCAGCACGGCCCUUACAUCCGGGGCGACACACGUGUUACAAUGGCGUGGACAAAGGGAGGCCACCUGGCGACAGGGAGCGAAUCCCCAAACCACGUCUCAGUUCGGAUCGGAGUCUGCAACCCGACUCCGUGAAGCUGGAUUCGCUAGUAAUCGCGCAUCAGCCAUGGCGCGGUGAAUACGUUCCCGGGCCUUGCACACAC